rnacentral:lncRNA from 10 species
CUACCUCAGCCUCCCAAGUAGCUGGGAUUACAGGCCCGGGCUACUACACCCAGCUUUUAUUAUUAUUAUUAUUAUUUUUGGUAGAGACGGCAUUUCACCAUGUUGGCCAGGCUGGUUUUGAACUCCUGACCUCAAAUGAUCCACCCGCCUCGGCCUCCCAAAGUGUUGGGAUUACAGGCAUGAGCCACCGCACCUGGCAACAGGUUAAUUUUAUUUAAAGAGUAAUGCAGUCCUUUCUUCUGCAGCAUGUGUGUUAAAUUUGGAAAAAUAUAGAGAAGAUUGGAAGAGCAAGGAUGAUAUGUCAAUUCAUAAAGAAUAUCAUAUAUUCUUUUUUCCUUGUUGGGAUAGAAAAUGUCUAUCCGAAAUCCAUCAGCUAGCAUCAUUUGCAAUGGUAAGACACUAUAGAUGUAACCCCAUUAAAAUCAGUAACAAGCUAAGAAGAUCUGCUAUCACCAUUAUAAUUUAAUUUUUAAAAUUCCCUAGCCAGUGCAAUAAAGCAGGAAACAGAAAUAAGAGCCAUCACUAAUAGAAAUCAGGAGGCACAAUUAAUAUCUUCAAAUGAAAUGAUUUUCUAACCCACGGAGUCUAAAUGAAAACCAUUUAGAAUGAGAUUUUAAAGGUUUGUUAGUUGUCCUAAACAUUUCAGUAACCAGUUAGAAAACACAGUGGAGAGCUUAUUUGCUGUAACACCAGAAUGUAGAAAAUACCUAGAAAUAACCUCAACAAGAAAUGUGCAAGAUCUGUAUGAAGAAAAUGGUGAAACUUUACCAAAAAAACCUCCUGAAACAUGAAUGAGAGGACAAACAUUUUUAACUUGUUAAUUCCUCUGAAAUAGUUUUAAUAAAAUUUACAAUAAAAGUACCAGAGAGUAUUCUUGUACCUUGGUAAAGUAAUUUUAAACUCCAUCCUGAAGAAUAUAUAUCCAAGAAUAGCAAAUAUUUUCUGAAAAAGAAGACCAAUGAGGAGGACUUUAACAAAUGAUAAAACCUGGUUCAAAAAUUGCAGUUAUUAAAACAGCAUGGUACGGGUACAUGCAUUUUUUUUUUUUUUUUUUUUUUUUUGAGAGGGAGUAUAGAGUCUCGCUCUGUCCCCCAGGCUGGGGCGCAGUGGCGUGAUCUCGGCUCACUGCAAGCUC